UCAGCACCUAAAAUUGGACAGUGGAGAAAACAACAGGAGAGAAGAGAAUUCAGGCCCAGGGGGCAAAGCCAGCUCUAAGUAUCAUUUUCUCUUCUUGGGUACAAGUGUAACAGAUGUUUUGUAAUUUACUAUUUUAUAUUUUCCCAAUUACAUGUAAAAACAGUUUUAACAUUCUUCUCCCCCCCCCCCAGUUUUGAGUUCCAAAUUCUCUCCCUUCCUCUCCUGCCCCGCUCAUUGAAAAGGCAAGCAAUUUGACAUAGGUUAUACAUGGUAACAGAUAUUUUAGAAAAGUUGUAUGUGAUGGCUCUAUUCAUUUCAGUUCAACAACAAACAUUGAUUAGGGUCAGCUUUACCUUUAGGUACACUUUACCUUCCUCCCACUUUGGGGCCAAGGAAGGGGAAAUUUCUAGUUAGUUAAGGGGCUAACCCUUUGCCAAUAAUUUGUAGGUUUUCUGUCUGCUAGAGAGCAAACUUGAAAAGCUCUAAAGACUAGAAGUCGAACCAAUGACAUACCUUAAAAGAAAGCAAGCUGGGGGCAGCUAGGUGGUGCAGUGGAUAGAGCAUCGGCCCUGGAGUGAGGAGGACCUGAGUUCAAAUCCAACCUCGGACACUUGACACAUACUAGCUGUGUGACCCUGGCUUCUUGAACUCUCUGCCUCGGAAAUGUGCCACCACCCAGGCAAUGAACAGACUCACUGGAAUGGGGAAGGAAGAGGCGGAAUGUGAGGAUCAGUAGGGACUCAUCAGAGGCAGAACUCCAGCCCCCUAAUCAUACCAAGUUUCCCUGAGAGUUGCUGCCAUUGUCUCCUUUGUACCCAAGCCAUCCUUGAGUCCAGAUCCCAGAAAAGGGUGUCUGGGUAAUUCAUAUAGCGUGUAUUGGGAUGUAGUCCCAGGGCUCUGGGACAACCAGGGGAAUGGCUUAUAAUUUGGGGGAGGGUUGGGGAAAGAAAAACAGAGUAGAAGAGAAACAUGAUUUACCUAAAGGGAGAAAGAAGAGGGCUACAAUAGUAACCCCAAAGCCAGGACCACUGCCUUCGAAGUAGUCAAACACUGUCAUAUUCACACAAGGCGGCAAGAUACUUUCUUCAAGCUGCUGGGGUUGUGGACAGGGGGCUCCUGGAGAAAAGAGAAACAUCAGAACUUGAGGCAUGGAACUGCUCCCUAAAGAUUCUGUCCCUCACUCAUCUUCCCUCUCUUUCUCUUAUGAGCACCAAAGGCACUGGGAUAUUCCAAACUCCUGCUUAUCCAUGGGCACCUUGGCACAUCCAUUAUUGCACAACUACCAAGCACAAACCACUGGGCUACUGAGGUCCUUCCUAGCUGAAGUUUUGCAGCUCUGUCCAGGACAAGACAUUGAGUCAGCCUAGGUGGAGGAAGGAGAGAAGUGGAGGAUGACUGGAAUGAAUGAAGAGGAUGGUAGAUCCACAGCAUCCUCACAGCCCCGGGAGCCAAUAUCAGGAAAAGGUCACACAAGUGAUGAGGUGAAGUGGGAGGGGAAGGAAAGAAUGAGAAUGAGAUAAAGGGCAGGUCUGAGGAUUCAAGGUUCAUGGGAGGGGUAAAAGGAAACAAGGACUAAGGCCCAUGCUGGAGAUGCUUGUUGGACGGGGGAGUUCUGGGGUUCAUGCAAGGGAACAGUAUAAAGGAUGAAGAUGUUUCCUGAAGCCUAGGCUAGGAUCACGUGUCAGAGAGCAAGAGGAUUCGGUAUCUCUGCUGGGGGCCAGUUUGGGGGAUGAGGUCUCUGGAAAUUCUAGACAGGC